ACCCAGCUGGCUCAGUUGGAAGAGCAUAUGACUCUUAAUCUUGAGGUUGUGAGUUCAAGGCCCACACUGGGUG
rnacentral:tRNA from 1 species